AAGCAUCUGUCAGUAGCUGGUGUGCAAACCCCCACUGAGGAGUGUGCCUAUGCAAGCUCACACAACGCUGUCUACACGCUUGCUGGGUAAUCAUCAUCUCAAAUCUUGAGCUUUAAUUAAAAGGGAUUGAUGCUGCUAAUCCACUGUUCCCAAAUUUGGCCACCUGCUUGUGCAACUUGUUUGUGCAAUGAAAUACUGAAAGAAGUAGUUGAGGAAAUCUGUUAAAGAUGCUGAUAAUGCUGAGGAAGAAUCAGAAAGAACAAGGAGUAGGAAUAGCCACAAAAGGCGAUACCCACAGAAAGCCAUGAAGAAAUGAGACAGAAAAGCUGUCAAGAAAACCCUGCAUUAGCACAACUACUGAUGGGUCAAGACCAAACAGCAGAUGCAGCACGAAGGAAGAGCAUGGACCUUUAAAUAGAGCUUCUUUGCAUCCUGAUUGAUAUUGGCUAAAAGUCUGUGCCCUGUGGUGAAACCUCACUCUGUUUAGGGACUUUCUGGAAUGUCAUUUCUAGCAUUCCUCCCUUUGCCGUGAGAGACUACGCUCCAGCAGAGUUUCUUCCCUUCAGCUGAAUACAUGCAUACAUCUAGAUUGUGUUUACCUUUGCAACUGCUUGUGUGAUUAUAGCCAGCACAGAUAGAAGAGCCCAGCACCUUGACUUUUUCAGGUAGAUAAGAUAAGCUCUUGUCAUUUCUGAGGAAGGAUGCUGUUACAUGUAACGUACUUCAUCUGAAAUGCUUCACCAUAGUCCUGAUUAGGCAGAAGCCUUCUUUGGAAACAGACUGUGGUUAGUACUCAGGACAUGUUCAGGCUUGUUAUUUUCUAGAGUAUCCAGAAAUCAAGGGAAGUGGCUCUGAUUUUUUUAAUUAAGAAGUUUCUGCUGUUUUAUCAGAAUAUUUUCUGGUUAUAAAAUACCCCCAACAAGUGAUGCAAAAGAAAAUACACUGAUGGGAGCUUUUCCAAAGCUUCUUUUUUAAUGAAAUAAAUGUGUCAAAAAGAAAUAAAGGAAUGUAAGGGUUACAGAGAAAGGAAUAUAAGGAUUAAACACAAGUUGGACCAAACAAGAUUUGACAUCCAGUUUCUAUUUUGAGAUUAUUCAUUUUCUCCCCAUUAGGCUGUUCAGACCCAAACUGAGUGAGUUCCCUCUAAACUAGUGAUUCAUAUUUCACUCUGAACAUUUCAUAUUCCUUGUAUUGAUGUGGAAAUCUGUGUUUUUGGUAGAGCUGAUUAAUUUAUUUUUCCCCCUCCAUUGGAAAUAUGUGUCCAGAAAUGUGUAUGUUUCAUUUCUGUGCCUGCUUAUUUUUAUUUAUUUUUAAUGGCUUCUCUCCCUCUCAUCAGGAGCAUAUGUAUGAUGCAGGUUGCCAUGGUAAAUAUGAAUUUUUUAUUAGCAGUGUAAAUAUUAAUUUAAAACAUGGUAACUGAGAUUUUAACACUGCUUUGGAGAUUUUCCUGCUCCUGAGGUGAUAGAAAUGAUGUAUGAGGUUAAAAAUGUGAAAAACAACGUCUUGGGGAGGAGAUCCUGAAGUGGUAGUACAACAGCCUAAGGGCACAGAAAUGUAGGGUAUUCGUGAAGCAAAGGCGAUAGGUCAGGCAUAAGCUUGCUGAAAGUUAAUACUAGCGAAGACAUGGAACCAAGGUUCAAGUUUUAAACUCUUUCCU